UACGGAGGGUGCUAGCGUUGUUCGGAAUCACUGGGCGUAAAGGGCGUGUAGGCGGUCUGUUAAGUCUGAUGUGAAAUCCCCUCGCUCAACGAGGGAACUGCGUCGGAUACUGGCAGACUCGAGUACCGGAGAGGAAGGUGGAAUUCCCGGUGUAGCGGUGAAAUGCGCAGAUAUCGGGAGGAACACCAGUAGCGAAGGCGGCACUCUGGGCCGGUACUGACGCUGAGGAGCGAAAGCGUGGGGAGCAAACAGG
rnacentral:rRNA from 1 species